GGCGCUUCCUGGCCGGGCUGGAUUUUCUAUCGCUCACAAAAUGGCGCGCGUUCCAAACCUGCGCAGCGCCCGGCGGCGGCAACGGCGGGGCCCGGCCUCGCCUCGGCUCGGGGAACGCUGAGUAGAUGUUUUCAGAGAAAUAUUCAUCAGAACCCAAAGAUCUCUUUUGUGAGUACAGAAUCAGCUUAUAGUCCACCAUUGUAUAUGUAAUUUUUUUCCCCAUGUGCACAACUUUCCAUUUAACUAUGUCACAUUUUAUCUGUCGUUUUCUUAUCCAGGCACUCAGUCUUGUAAAGUCUUUCUAUAGCUCUUCAGUUCUUCACAGCCAUUUUAACUUCAUCACAAUUUGUCCUCUAACUUUCCUUUACCUGAAUAGCUUAAUAUCAUUAGCAAUCUGUGAUACCUCACUGCUCGCUCUCUUUUUCCAGAUCAUUUAUGAAUACAUUAAGCAGCACAAGUCACAGCACAGGUCCCUGCAGACUCCUCUUGUGAUCUUCCUCUUCUAUGAAAACCAACCUUUAUUUCUGUUUUAAUUCUGCUUCCUGUCUUCUAGCCAUUUUUUGAUCCAUUCCCUUUUCUUCUUAUUGCAUAAAGGCUUUUUUUUUUUUUCCUUGCUUUUCUCUUUUUCUAAUGAAGCUUUGUCUAGGGAUCUCAUUGCCAUUGCCGCUGGGAGUCCUGUAGCCCUUAAACAGGAGCUCUCCUUGUCCACACGUGUUAACUCUAUCAAAGAAUUAUAGAUCUGCAACAUGUGAUGUAAUGUAACAAAAGCUGUGCUGUGUCUUCCUCAAUAUGUUCUAUUUAUGUAUGUGUCCAUUGAUUCUGUUAAGAAGGACAGAUAAAACUUAUUUGCCCAGAUGGCUAACGCAACAGACUUACUUCUGUGUAGCUGCUUGCAUCUUCACUGAAGUCAUUUCUGAAAGUGGCUGGCACAGUCCCUACUGAGUUACCAGGGAAAGGAAUUUUAAAACCAGGGCCACGCACUUCAGUACUUCAACUCUCAGCUGCCUGAUUUCUCUUAGAGCUCUCGGAUGGAGGCCAUCUGGUCUCCACAGCAUCUCACUUAUUUCUUUGUUCCCUAACAUCUUCUGCCCCACAUUUAAAUUUGAGGUAAAUCUCCUGAAUUUCUCAUAAUGAAAGGUGCUGGCAUGAGUUUCUCAAAGCUUUUGCACUGUGAAAACAGAUGAAAAACCAUGAAUGUAGUUUUUUUCUAUGGCUUGUUUUCUUUAAGUGUUCUUCUUCCAGAUUGAUGGUCUAUAGGCUUUUUUUAAUGAAAAAGUUCUGUUACUUACAAGCCUCCUUUCAAGCCACUACAAAACAUUACUAUGCAAAAGUUGUUGAUUAUAAAAGCUGAUGUAAAAUGUGAGGUUUGUGUUAUAUUAUUAGCAAGAACACGUGCUUGUUUCCUGGAAAAGAAAACGGUAAUCUGUGCUGCUCUCAUCAGAUGUCGUGAUCAAAGCACUGGGCUUAAUAAACAAAAGAGUAACAGAAUUACAAAGUUAGAUCAAACUAGCGAGUUGAUUGAUCCGAGAUCCUGUUAUCUCCAUGAAACUUGUCAGGAAAUACAUCAUGGAGAGUUAGGGAAUAUCCAGCUUCUAGGUAUACUUUGAGCAACAAUGUUACGAUGUUUAGUGAUCGUGGAUGUUUCCGUAGAGUCGUAGGAUAUCCUGAGUUGGAAGGGACCCAUGACGAUCAUUGAGUCCAACUCCUGGCUCCACACAGGACAAAUCUGCCUCUUGUGUGCAAGGGAAAUAAUGAGAAGAACCUGGGUGAAUGUCAGAGCUGCUACUUUUGUAAUGAAUAAUGUGUCUGUCAACUUAAAAAUCAGGAAAAAAACAAUAGUUCUUUUAUUCUGAGAUAAAAACGUUGCAUCAUUGUACAGAAUCUCACAAAACCCAUUAUAAAUGUUUUGCACUGCAAAUAUAUAUAUAUAAUUUAAUUUAUUUCUACAGUUUGCUAUCUUAUUCUAAAGUACUUCUUAUUGCCUGACACUAUUUUUUUUACCUACAAUACUCUUUCAAAAAAAAAAAAAAAUUGAAUGUCUGAAUCAGAUAUAAAAACUUGCUUUUUUUUUAUGCACUGUUGGUUGUCCCCCCUCCAUGUAUUCCAUAAUGUCAUUUUCCGUAUUUCCUAACGCUUUUGAGAGAAGAGUAAAGCUUGGUGCAAUUUUCACUCAGUACUAACCCUUUUUUUUUUAAACAAGCUGAUCACAUUUAAUCUGUGGCAAUUCUGUUAAAAAAGACGCAUUUUGGUGGAAAAAAUGUUACUUGGUUCUUAGAAGCCUUCAGGAUUCAUAACCAAAUAUUAUCCUGUUUAUGGAAUUAACUGUGUUUAACUAUUUCCUGUUUUUUCAACAGCUCAGCUUCCAGCGCUGCUUUGCCUCCUGACACCACAAGUACCCCCACAUUUCCUGUGACCGAUCAGUUUGCAAUGUUUUACCCCUUGUAGAGGAGCUCUCAUCAUGCUGCCAACUGCAGUUCUCACAGAAUAGCUCUGAAGAUUUCAAUAACACAGAAUAUCAUCUUUUUUUGCUUCCUAAUAGCUGAGUAUGGCCCUCUAACUGAUAAGUACAACGAAUGUACACAUACCUCCUUCAACUUUAUGUAUAUUGUUUGGUAGUCUUUGAGAACAUUUUUUUUCCUUUCUUCUUUUAAUUUUAUCUUUAUGUAUUAUCUGACUUUCUUUAGUAGCUUCUAUAUGAACUUUUCUUCAACUAAGUUUCAUUGAUUAUCCUUCUACAGCCUUUUCUUGUCUAUAUCCAUGCACAGUUCUUCUAAGCCUGAUAAACCUUAAAGUAUAAUUUUAAAAGAAAAAUAACUUUCUGUGCAAUGAGAAGUGUUUCAGAAAAUGUGGUUAAGAUUUAAUGUGUAUACAGCUCUGUAUGGGAACUGUUGAAUCAUAGCCUGAACCUCUGAUUGAUCACCUGAGGCAAGCACUGAGUCAGCCACGGGAGCACAGGUGAAUGCAAUUCACCUGUGUGACUGGAAGGGGGGGAGCCUGGCUCCACCUCUCCUAGACCCCAUUUAAGGGUUGACUGCCACUACAGAAGGAUAUCUCUCUGGAGAUUGCUCCUCGUGGAGUUUUCUUGUGAGCCUACAACACCAGUGUGACUUUUGCCAUUUAUUUCUGUUUAUCUUUUCCAGCAUGAUAAUCUUUCCAGCAAUAUGCUCUCAAAAGACCAGCCUAACUUCUUUGUAUACUUAUUGAUUGUACAUCUAUAUACUCACUGAGUAUACAAGUUCCUAUGUAGGAUAGUUUUCUUUUUCAUCAUCAUCUUUGUUUCUGAAGCAUUCAAGAGCCCUACCAAACACUUAUGUGAUGCGAUGAGGGGCUUUGGCAUGAUUUCUGCACCAAAGAUAAUGAAUUUAAAUAUGCUUGUGUUGUUUAUUUUGUGUUACUUAGAAGCAGAGAAUGGCUUUUCCACUCCUGAGGUCUCAUUUCUUUUUGGCAUGUCAAGCAUAUGCUUCCAUAAAGCAAGUAAAAAUGAUUCAAUAAAUGAAUAUUUGUAACGACUCUCUUAUUAGCUUUAAUAAUUUCUCUCAGCAGUGUGUGUUCUAUAUUCUUCUGAUGACAAGUAGUGAAUUUUCAGGUAUGAUUUUGUAUUACCUGCACAACUUCUUCAACUAAUUUCCUUAAGUAUAUUGCUGUUCUCUAGGCAAAGGCAGUUCUGUUUUGUUUAUUUCAAAUUACAAAUGCAGUAAAGUGAUACAUAUUAAUGCAUAAAUUUCAGCCUUGUGUUGAGGCAAAAAAAGAAGUCUGAUUAUUCUGAACAAUUUAAGCGUAUUUCUUAAAAUAAUACAUUAAGGUGAGUUAAAGCAAAUGCAUGUGCUAUUCUACUGAAUUUAAUAUAUUUUUUUUCAUAUACUUUCAGUUGAGGUUCAACUUGUACAAGAGAUCUUCUAGUUCAGUCCCUGUUCAGGAUCAACAAAACUUAAAAACAAUGAUAGAAGUUCAAAUUCAAGUUAGUGUUUGGCUAAUUCUGCAAGUAGAAAUAUAUCCAAUAUGAAUUAAAGUAAAAUAUGUACCCUAGUUCUUUGUGGGGGGAAAAAAAAACAGGAAUAAACAAUAAAAAUAAUAUUGUAGCUGAAUGCAGCACUGCAUGAGCCAACAUCAGUAACAGUGAUAUGAAUUAAGUAAUAAAGAGCUGUCUUGUGACAGUAGCUUCUAUGUUCCUAAAUCAAUUCCAAUCUCCUAAAUAAAACUGUGUUUAAAAAAGAGUGCGAAGGAGAAUAAAAGAACUACUUCGAGGAACAGAAAUAUUUAGUAUGAUUUUUUUCUUCAUUGAAAUGCAUACACAGAGCACCUGAAGUCUGCAGAGUAACCUUAACUUUAUAAUUACCAAACAUAUCAUUCUUUCACUCUGGAGUCUUACUAGUACCUAUAAAUACCUAGAAACUGAUGAAAGUAACAAAAAAACCCUCCCAGAUUCUGCUAUAUGGAACAGCAGUGAUUCCCACAUUCAUCUCUUGGACAAGAAUGUCUUUAUCCCCAUCGUGGACCACUGCUGCUUAAGCUGACUGCACAAUAGCAGCUGUUAUCUUCACGUGGCAGGACCUGCCCUCAGGAGAUAGCCACUUGCUUUGUGCCGGGCACCAGGAGUGCCGGCUGACAGUCAAGGUGCAUUGAGAGGUGCCCUGGCCCAGAGCCCGUGUGCUGCAAUAACCCUUCAUGUAGCCCACUACCACUUCCUUUUUAUCAUUCCUCCACUUCCAGAUUGGAGGUGGAUGGUGUGCAUAAAGCUGCAACUCUAUGAAGUACCUCCCAUUGGCUGAACAAAGCCUAAAAUUUUCAGUCUCAUCAUUUCUCCAAAUUUGGAAUGGAUUUUUCAAGUGGACAGAAGAAGCAUCCCCUGACAAUGAGAGGAUGCCCUGCCAAAUUUCAAGCCUUUGCUCCAAAGCUUGAACUGACACUCAUUUUGCUGAAAUUUUCAAAAUAAUUCCCUAUGAGGUAAGUAAUGUAUUAGAUAGAGAAAUAUUAUGACUUUGAUCAAUCAGAAGAAAUCAGUUCUUAUGAAUAAAUAUAGUUAUGGCUGUAACUAGUAGCAUGACAGAAACAAAUAAUGUAAGAGAUGAUCACCUGGGGACUCACAAUCUUCCCCUCAAAAUGCUGGAUUAGACUAUGAUGGAGCUUUUUUUUUCCUCCCUAAUCCAUGAAUAAAACUGGUUAAAAGGAGAAAGGACAAUUAAAAGCAUUAUGUAUAUAAAUAAAAACAUUAAAAAUUGAUUUCAGAUUUUGGAAACGUGAAUUGAGGAGAUGAGGAUUGUAUUUGGCUCCAAACUAGCCAAAGCAUCUCUAAUUGUCCUAACUAGUAUUAACUCAGUCUAGACAUUUAGAAACACUGAUGACCACAUCUGCAGAUCUCUUUAUUUUAGCCACCAGCUUCACUAGUCCAACAGAACGUACUUGGAAUCAGAGACUGCAGUCAAGAAGGAGCUAUCAUCCAAUGCUGGCAAGAAGAAUUGCACAAAGAGUGCUUGCUGAACUAUUGAUACAGAGACCGUAUUUGGACACUGCCUCAUUGGGAGCCAGGGUGCUCCAGACGGAUUUGUUUGUGAUGAUCUGUGUUGCUAGGCAGGAGGGCAGCUACAGCCUGUACCAACGGGAGCUUUUUCUGGACGUGAGACCUCAGUUCCUAGAAAUGAGUAACUGAAGUACCUUCAGAAGUUUCCUAAGGAUGAUAAAUACUUGAUUGUGAAAGCAGUGGCAGAAAAUCUACAUAACCUGAAAACAACUGCACUAUCUGGGCAAAUACUCUUUUCAGUUCUUCUUUGUUGGGGUAAAAAAUAAAUUGAAACAAUCAGUCCCUUUUUUAGCUGUCUCAAAGUGAGUAGCAACAGUAACUAGUUAUGGAGCACAGUCCUAAUCCUUUGUAACUAAAUAUUCCUUUCUCUUAGCACUUGGAUUCUGUCUUUGAAAAACUCUGCUGAAUGUUUAGUGACAGCUGUCUCCACUCUUUCCCCAGAACAAAAGAUGCUGCUAAUUACAAGUGUGUACUGUUUGUUGGGGUUUGUUGGUUUGUUUGGCUAAGCUUUCCAUAAGCACUUAAGCAGCUGGCAUACUGUUUUGGUGGUCUUCUUCCUUAAUACAGCAUCACUUUUAGCACUAAAAUGUGCACAGGGGCGAGAGGGGACAGGCCAGAACCAUCUUCUUGGUUUCACAUGGCUGGGAGGGCUAAACACAGACUUGGAGCUUUGCACCCUCUUCAUGUCACUUGAGUGCUUCCCUCCUGCCAUUUCUGGAGCCCAUUCGUGCCCAGGAAUGAUCUCUGCAUGCUGUUGCUAGGACAUGGUACCUCCAGACUUGUAUUUAUUUUUUGAGCUAUUUGAAGCUAAGAAAAUGUAUCUUCUAAAUACCAAUAACUAAAAAAGGACAAUUAUUUAUACUAAGGCAAUAAAAUUAAAAUAAAGAUGGCUUCAGAAUC